GACGAACGCUGGCGGCGUGCUUAACACAUGCAAGUCGUACGGUAAGGCCCUUUCGGGGGUACACGAGUGGCGAACGGGUGAGUAACACGUGAGUAACCUGCCCACAACUUUGGGAUAACGCUAGGAAACUGGUGCUAAUACUGGAUAUGUGCUCCUGCUGCAUGGUGGGGGUUGGAAAGCUCCGGCGGUUGUGGAUGGACUCGCGGCCUAUCAGCUUGUUGGUGGGGUAGUGGCCUACCAAGGCGGCGACGGGUAGCCGGCCUGAGAGGGUGACCGGCCACAUUGAGACUGAGAUACGGCCCAGACGCCUACGGGAGGCAGCAGUGGGGAAUAUUGCACAAUGGGCGCAAGCCUGAUGCAGCAACGCCGCGUGCGGGAUGACGGCCUUCGGGUUGUAAACCGCUUUCAGCAGGGACGAAGCUUUUUGUGACGGUACCUGCAGAAGAAGCACCGGCUAACUACGUG
rnacentral:rRNA from 1 species